rnacentral:lncRNA from 1 species
UUUUUCUAUAACGAAAAAAUCGUCGAUGCUCUUUCACAUCUGUAUCUCCCUUUCCUCCUCUCCACUUUUCCACAUCAACUUUUUUCCCUCUCCGGUACAAUUAUACCUACACGACACAUGUAUACGUCUGCAAAAUUCUAAAUCUGGUUAGAUUCUGGAUUUCAUCGUUUUUCAUUCAGAUUUUGUUCAUCCAGAAAUUAGAACCCAAAAAAUGCAUGCAAUAAAAGAGAGAGUCUCGGAAACACUAUUAAGAUUUUUUCAGACUCCCCAUCAUCUCAAAUGCCAGAUCAAGAACCUGAGGUACCCUUUUUUGGUUUUUCCUUUGAGUCCACGGAAUUAUGUUAAUAUUUGAUUGAAUCUAAUGUUUGAAUUGAUUUUGAGAUUUUUUAUGAUUUUUUAUUAAUUAAAAUUGUUUCUUAUGUCUGAUCUGUGAAAAAACAUUGUGGGUUUUGGAUACAAUGUGUAUGUAGAUAAGUUGAAUUCUACGAAUACUUGAGAAAUUUUUUUAGCUGAUGAUGUUAAUUGAACAAAAUCUGCUAGCAUUUUAUUUUAUGAAUUUUAACUCAUUGAUUGGGUAAUGUAAAUCUUCUUUUUAGCAGCAAGCUCCCAUGGUGAUACAGUAAGAAGAUGGAGGAAGAAAAUGAAAGAUUUUUUUUCUUUUUUUUUUUUAGUUGUGAGUUUUAAUUAUAUAUUUGUGAUUAAUUUGUAUUUUUUUUAGAAAUUUGGGACUAUUGUUG